AUCUAGCCGACGAGUCCCAAAUAGGACGAAACGUACGUCCUGGAU
rnacentral:hammerhead_ribozyme from 1 species